AACGAACGCUGGCGGCAUGCCUAACACAUGCAAGUCGAACGAGACCUUCGGGUCUAGUGGCGCACGGGUGCGUAACGCGUGGGAACCUGCCCUUAGGUUCGGAAUAACUCCCCGAAAGGGGUGCUAAUGCCGGAUAAUGUCUUCGGACCAAAGAUUUAUCGCCUUUGGAUGGGCCCGCGUUGGAUUAGCUAGUUGGUAGGGUAAAAGCCUACCAAGGCGACGAUCCAUAGCUGGUCUGAGAGGAUGAUCAGCCACACUGGGACUGAGACACGGCCCAGACUCCUGCGGGAGGCAGCAGUGGGGAAUAUUGGACAAUGGGCGAAAGCCUGAUCCAGCAAUGCCGCGUGAGUGAUGAAGGCCUUAGGGUUGUAAAGCUCUUUUACCCGGGAUGAUAAUGACAGUACCGGGAGAAUAAGCUCCGGCUAACUCCGUG
rnacentral:rRNA from 1 species